rnacentral:tRNA from 1 species
AAGAGUGAUAUAAGUACUGCUAAUACUUAAAACCAGAAAUAAUUCUCUGGCACUCUUA